GAUGAACGCUGGCGGCGUGCCUAAUACAUGCAAGUCGAGCGAACGGACGAGAAGCUUGCUUCUCUGAUGUUAGCGGCGGACGGGUGAGUAACACGUGGAUAGCCUACCUAUAAGACUGGGAUAACUUCGGGAAACCGGAGCUAAUACCGGAUGAUAUUUUGAACCGCAUGGUUCAAAAGUGAAAGACGGUCUUGCUGUCACUUAUAGAUGGAUCCGCGCUGCAUUAGCUAGUUGGUAAGGUAACGGCUUACCAAGGCAACGAUGCAUAGCCGACCUGAGAGGGUGAUCGGCCACACUGGAACUGAGACACGGUCCAGACUCCUACGGGAGGCAGCAGUAGGGAAUCUUCCGCAAUGGGCGAAAGCCUGACGGAGCAACGCCGCGUGAGUGAUGAAGGUCUUCGGAUCGUAAAACUCUGUUAUUAGGGAAGAACAUAUGUGUAAGUAACUGUGCACAUCUUGACGGUACCUUAUCAGAAAGCCACGGCUAACUACGUG
rnacentral:rRNA from 1 species